CCUACGGGAGGCAGCAGUGAGGAAUAUUGGUCAAUGGGCGCGAGCCUGAACCAGCCAAGUAGCGUGAAGGAUGACUGCCCUACGGGUUGUAAACUUCUUUUAUAAAGGAAUAAAGUGAGGCACGUGUGCCUUUUUGUAUGUACUUUAUGAAUAAGGAUCGGCUAACUCCGUGCCAGCAGCCGCGGUAAUACGGAGGAUCCGAGCGUUAUCCGGAUUUAUUGGGUUUAAAGGGAGCGUAGAUGGGUUGUUAAGUCAGUUGUGAAAGUUUGCGGCUCAACCGUAUAAUUGCAAUUGAUACUGGCUGUCUUGAGUACAGUUGAGGUAGGCGGAAUUCGUGGUGUAGCGGUGAAAUGCUUAGAUAUCACGAAGAACUCCGAUUGCGAAGGCAGCUUACUAAACUGCCACUGACAUUGAUGCUCGAAAGUGUGGGUAUCAAACAGGAUUAGAUACCCCAGUAGUC
rnacentral:rRNA from 1 species